UACGUAGGGCGCAAGCGUUAUCCGGAAUUAUUGGGCGUAAGGAGCUCGUAGGCGGUUUGUCGCGUCUGCCGUGAAAGUCCGGGGGCUCAACUCCGGAUCUGCGGUGGGUACGGGCAGACUAGAGUGAUGUAGGGGGAGACUGGAAUUCCUGGUGUAGCGGUGAAAUGCGCAGAUAUCAGGAGGAACACCAGUGGCGAAGGCGAGUCUCUGGGCUGAUACCGACGCUGAGGCGCGAAGCCAGGGGAGCAAACGGG
rnacentral:rRNA from 1 species